UGCUGAAUCGUGGGGUCUUCUUAAGGGAACGGGGCUUUUAUAAUAACCCAACUGAAAUUAAUACCAUGUCAUGAACACUACCAACAGGAUAGUGCUAAUCUCUCCAAUCUCCGGUUGGACGCAGCUAUACUCAAGUCGGUGGUGUAUCGUUGAAUAUUGGUUGAAGAGUUUUCGUCGGUCCCCAAACCCGUCCAAUAUUUGCUGCAGUUUGGACCCUGGUCUUCCAAAGUGAGCUUCGCACCAUGUAAACUUUGGCCUCGACAACUUGGCCAUGGUUGAGAUAUAGCGUUCCGGAUCUCGCUUUUGAAACAAGGAUUUUUGUUGGUGGAUUGAGCUGCGCACAUUGGGUAACUGGAUACACCAUUUCUCUCUCUAUUUAUUGACUCAGCCGGGGAAGGGUGCAGGCUCUACGGUUAGCCUUGAGUCCCAUUGAUGUCGUUGCUGAAUGAUUUUGAUUCUGGAGCCAGUUACACCUUGAAUGUCCAGGGCCUCACAAACCUAUUCGUAUAGGGCAAAGAGACUUUACUUUACCCGCCCAAUACCAAAAACCCAUGCGCCACCUUAAAAUGAUCAAGUUACGCAGUGGAGGCCAGAGAAACGAACUGCUACCCCC
rnacentral:sRNA from 1 species